GCCUACGGGGGGCAGCAGUGAGGAAUAUUGGUCAAUGGGCGGGAGCCUGAACCAGCCAAGUCGCGUGAAGGAAGAAGGUACUUAGUAUUGUAAACUUCUUUUGUCGGGGAACAAAGGCGGAGACGCGUCUCCGGAUGAGUGUACCCGAAGAAAAAGCAUCGGCUAACUCCGUGCCAGCAGCCGCGGUAAUACGUAGGUGGCAAGCGUUGUCCGGAUUUACUGGGUGUAAAGGGCGUGCAGCCGGGCUGACAAGUCAGAUGUGAAAUCCGUGGGCUUAACCCGCGAACUGCAUUUGAAACUAUUGG
rnacentral:rRNA from 1 species